rnacentral:rRNA from 1 species
UACGUAGGGGGCAAGCGUUGUCCGGAUUUAUUGGGCGUAAAGAGCGUGUAGGCGGCCAGACAGGUCAGCUGUGAAAACUCGAGGCUCAACCUCGAGACGUCGGUUGAAACCGUCUGGCUAGAGUCCGGAAGAGGAGAGUGGAAUUCCCGGUGUAGCGGUGAAAUGCGCAGAUAUCGGGAAGAACACCCGUGGCGAAGGCGGCUCUCUGGGACGGUACUGACGCUGAGACGCGAAAAGCGUGGGGGAGCGAACAGG